rnacentral:rRNA from 1 species
UACGUAGGGUGCGAGCGUUGUCCGGAAUUACUGGGCGUAAAGAGCUCGUAGGUGGUUUGUCGCGUUGUCCGUGAAAACUCACAGCUUAACUGUGGGCGUGCGGGCGAUACGGGCAGACUGGAGUACUGCAGGGGAGACUGGAAUUCCUGGUGUAGCGGUGAAAUGCGCAGAUAUCAGGAGGAACACCGGUGGCGAAGGCGGAUCUCUGGGCCUUACCUGACGCUGAGGCGCGAAAGCUAGGGGAGCAAACAGG